rnacentral:rRNA from 1 species
UACGAAGGGGGCUAGCGUUGCUCGGAAUCACUGGGCGUAAAGCGCACGUAGGCGGAUCUUUAAGUCAGGGGUGAAAUCCCAAGGCUCAACCUUGGAACUGCCUUUGAUACUGGGGAUCUCGAGUCCGGAAGAGGUGAGUGGAACUGCGAGUGUAGAGGUGAAAUUCGUAGAUAUUCGCAAGAACACCAGUGGCGAAGGCGGCUCACUGGUCCGGUACUGACGCUGAGGUGCGAAAGCGUGGGAGCAACAGG